UACGUAGGGCGCAAGCGUUGUCCGGAAUUAUUGGGCGUAAAGAGCUCGUAGGCGGCCUGUUGCGUCCGCUGUGAAAUCCCGGGGCUCAACCCCGGGCCUGCAGUGGAUACGGGCUGGCUAGAGGCAGGCAGGGGAGAACGGAAUUCCUGGUGGUAGCGGUGAAAUGCGCAGAUAUCAGGAAGAACACCCGUGGCGAAGGCGGCUCUCUGGUACGUGACUGACGCUGAGACGCGAAAGCGUGGGGAGCAAACAGG
rnacentral:rRNA from 1 species